rnacentral:rRNA from 1 species
UACAGAGGUCUCAAGCGUUGUUCGGAUUCAUUGGGCGUAAAGGGUGCGUAGGCGGCGCGGUAAGUCGGGUGUGAAAUUUCGAGGCUUAACUUCGAAACUGCAUUCGAUACUGCCGGGCUAGAGUCCGGAAGAGGCGAGUGGAACUCCUGGUGUAGCGGUGGAAUGCGCAGAUAUCAGGAAGAACACCAACGGCGAAGGCAGCUCGCUGGGACGGAACUGACACUGAGGCGCGAAAGCGUGGGGAGCGAACAGG